rnacentral:snRNA from 1 species
GGAUGUGAGGGCGAUCUGGCUGCGACAUCUGUCACCCCAUUGAUCGCCAGGGUUGAUUCGGCUGAUCUGGCUGGCUAGGCGGGUGUCCCCUUCCUCCCUCACCGCUCCAUGUGCGUCCCUCCCGAAGCUACGCGCUCGGUCGAAGAGGACGACCAUCCCCGCUAGAGGAGGACCGGUCUUCGGUCAAGGGUAUACGAGUAGCUGCGCUCCCCUGCUAGAACCUCCAAACAAGCUCUCAAGGAAAUGAGUCUUAAGUUGUUGCUCCACAUAGAACCCAGAACCACUCAAUCACUCCUCCUCCACUUACUCUUCAUU